rnacentral:rRNA from 1 species
GAGUGGGGGAUAGCCCGGCGAAAGCCGGAUUAAUCCCGCAUACGAUCUCUGGAUGAAAGCGGGGGACCGAAAGGCCUCGCGCUCAAGGGGCGGCCGAUGGCAGAUUAGCUAGUUGGUGGGGUAAAGGCCUACCAAGGCGACGAUCUGUAGCUGGUCUGAGAGGACGACCAGCCACACUGGGACUGAGACACGGCCCAGACUCCUACGGGAGGCAGCAGUGGGGAAUUUUGGACAAUGGGGGCAACCCUGAUCCAGCAAUGCCGCGUGUGUGAAGAAGGCCUUCGGGUUGUAAAGCACUUUUGUCCGGAAAGAAAACCACUUCUCUAAUACAGAGGUGGGAUGACGGUACCGGAAGAAUAAGCACCGGCUAACUACGUGCCAGCAGCCGCGGUAAUACGUAGGGUGCGAGCGUUAAUCGGAAUUACUGGGCGUAAAGCGUGCGCAGGCGGUUCGCUAAGACCGAUGUGAAAUCCCCGGGCUUAACCUGGGAACUGCAUUGGUGACUGGCGGGCUAGAGUAUGGCAGAGGGGGGUAGAAUUCCACGUGUAGCAGUGAAAUGCGUAGAGAUGUGGAGGAAUAC